UGUCUCACAUUGGGAGGCUGCUAGACUGUUGGCCUAUACACCCUGCCCCUGAGGCAUGGCAUGGAGUGCUGGCACUCUUGUGGAUGGGCUGCCUUCACCUGCUUCUGCUGUUGUGGAUAGCAGGUUGUUUUUCAGGGCCAGCCUACUCCCAUUGCUGUGGCAAUUAGUGAGCUUUCGGGAGCAACAGCUUUUAAAGUUUUGGCAUAGAGAUUCAUUCAGAUAAGCUUCCCUGCUGGCCGCUGCUGCCCUAUGGCAUCCCAGCGGCGGGAGAAGUACUGAGUUCCCAUCCUGUCCCGUCCCGGCUCGACUGCACUCCUGGUCUAUGUUACUAGUUGAACUGGAAACCACGCUGAUCAUCACAGAAAAUGCCCUCUCUGGGAAAGAGACCUUUAAUCCUCACCUGAACCUGGCUGAAAACAACGGGGUUUUUUUAAAACCAAAUGGGUUGAAUGUCCAAGCAUCAUCAUUCUGAAUGAA